CCAGUAGGCGGCCAACUAAGUCCGACGUGAAAUCCCCAGGCUUAACCUGGGAACUGCGUCGGAUACUGGAUGGCUUGAAUUCGGGAGAGGGAUGCAGAAUUCCAGGUGUAGCGGUGAAAUGCGUAGAUAUCUGGAGGAAUACCGGUGGCGAAGGCGGCAUCCUGGACCGACAUUGACGCUGAACGGCGAAAGCUAGGGGAGCAAACGGGAUUAGAUACCCCGGUAGUCCUAGCCCUAAACGAUGAAUGCUUGGUGUGGCGGGUAUCGAUCCCUGCCGUGCCGAAGCUAACGCAUUAAGCAUUCCGCCUGGGGAGUACGGUCGCAAGGCUGAA
rnacentral:rRNA from 1 species